UACGGAGGAUGCGAGCGUUAUCCGGAUUUAUUGGGUUUAAAGGGUGCGCAGGCGGGGGAUUAAGUCGGCGGUGAAAUUUUGCAGCUCAACUGUAAAAGUGCCUUCGAAACUGGUUUCCUUGAGUGUAGAUGAAGUAGGCGGAAUUUGUGGUGUAGCGGUGAAAUGCAUAGAUAUCACGAGGAACUCCGAUUGCGCAGGCAGCUUACUAAACUACUACUGACGCUCAUGCACGAAGGCGUGGGGAUCAAACAGGAUUAGAUACCCGGGUAGU
rnacentral:rRNA from 1 species